AGUUGUGGCAUAGGUAGGAAAAUGAUGAACAGUUGAAAGUUGGAACGAACGGUUGAAUUGGUUAAAAAAUGUAGAGGUUAGAGCAAAUGUUGAAUGCGUCAUAGAGAAUGAAUGGAAAUUUUUUAAAA